UCCUCAUGGAGGCAUACGAGGAGGUAAAAGAUAUAAUUAAGAAGAAAGGCAACACCGCCACAGUGAUAAAGCAAAGAGAAAAAGCGUGGCAAAGUAUUGCAGACCGCCUGAAUGCGUAAGUAGUGCACAAUUACACACUCACCGCUCCGCUGAAACAUCACAAUUACAAUUCAAAUAUUUAAUUCACAUCUCCAAAAAUGCAGUUGUACUGUAAUUAUGAAACGGUUAAAUUUUUAAUUGAAAUGCACUGCAGAUAUGAGUGAAAUUGUGUAAAGUAACUCCAUCACACUGUAUAAAGCUAUGAUACAUUUUUUGAUAUUUUUACUGAAAACAAGACAAAAAUACCAAGUAAUUUUUUGCAGUGUGACUCCAUUAAAUGUGUGUGUGUGUGUGUGUGUGUAGAUUAAACAUGAACGGGCCAAAACGGACAUGGCAGCAGGUCAAAAUCAAAUACAAGAACAUUCUGCAGAAUGCAGUGAAAAAGAAUACCCACAGACAAGGCACGGGUGGUGGGUCACCAAAGGCUGACCUUACCCCAGCAGAGGACAUGGCCUUGGAGCUAAAUAAAGGCAGGCCUGUCUUAGAGGGGAUCCCUGGGGGGAAAGAGACGAGCAUAGGUUCCUCCCAAGAUGCCACCCGCUUCAUUCAAGUGUCUGGCAGCACUGUGUUCCUGUUAGAGCCACCAGCACAAGCACCAGACGAUGCUGAUCCAGUGAGUAC